rnacentral:tRNA from 1 species
ACCCGGCUGGCUCAGUGGGUAGAAAAUGAGACUCUUGACCUCAGGGUUGUGAGUUUGAGUCCCAUGUUGGGUG